rnacentral:ncRNA from 1 species
UACCUGGUUGAUCCUGCCAGUAGUCAUAUGCUUGUCUCAAAGAUUAAGCCAUGCAAGUCUAAGUACGAGCUCUCGUACAGUGAAACUGCGAAUGGCUCAUUAAAUCAGUUAUGGUUCAUUUGAUCGUACAGUUUACUUGGAUAACUGUGGUAAUUCUAGAGCUAAUACAUGCGAGAAGCGCCGACCUCGCGGGAGGCGUGCAUUUAUCAGACCAAAAACCGGCCGCGUCUUCGGGCGCGUUCGCCUUGGUGACUCUGGAUAACUUUGCGGAUCGCACGGUCUAGCACCGGCGACGGAUCAUUCAAGUGUCUGCCCUAUCAACUUUCGUCGGUACGGUAUUUGCCUACCGAGGUUCUUACGGGUGACGGGGA